CGAGCGUCGCCUGGCUCCCCUCCCCCGAGCAUUAAGAUAGAAGUCUGGCUUGCCUCGUUUAAACGUGGAGGAGCUAUGCACUGCUAAUAUGUCGGAUGAUGAAGACGAUGGGUGAUUGUGAUUGUGACACCCAGACCUAGAAGGCCACGAGGAUUUCAGUAUGAGAUCAUCAAUGGUAUGAAGAAUAUCUGUUAUUGCCGGCGUGUUGUCUUUGUAGCAGCUCAUUGAGAAGUUAGGCUUUAAUAGUGUGACUGAUAAGCCAACUGCACUUAAAAUGAUGAGAGAUAUAUGUGAAUCUGUUCUUGAAUCCUUCAAAAGGAAGCAAAGCUAGCACAUAGUGGCUGUGAUAUCUUGAAGAGUUACAGAGUGGCCGUGCGGAGGCAGCUUGGGCAGGUUAACAAGGGAUUGCAUUGGAAUUAUUUCUGUUUAAAUAUUAGCUCUGGACUAAACCUAUGGUAACAUCUUUUAAUUCAGAUUGCACACACCUACUUAAUCUUUUACUUGAUUUUCUUUAACCAAUUCCACAUUUCCGGGCUCAAGGUGGAUUUGAUAAUUUACUAUUUUUGUAUCGGGAAGCUUUGCGUUGAUUUAGCUUUUAGAUUGAAAGUAAUUCGUUCACAUCCUUCAAUUGGUAGGACUAACGCUUGACAGAAAUAUGUAUUUCACAAUAUUUUCUGAAAAUGCUUUUAACUGGAGCUCCAAGAAUUGGGAAGAACCUAUACGCUAGCUUCAUGUUAUUCUGAACCGAGUAAAAGAACACACUCAUCUAUGAGGUACUUGCUAUGCUUCGUACUUUGUUUUCACACACAAAAAUGGACGAUUAUUUGGUUUGCAAAUUUGUGUCCUCUUUAAUUCAUAGCAGGGGGCAUUGCCAUCACUUUGCAUGAUAAAACACUUGGAAGGGCUUUGAAGAAUAUAUGUUAUUGAGCAGUGGGAACAAUCUUGAUCAAGAAAUAAACCUCAUUUUUCUGUUUUUAGACAUAAAAGAACCAUUGAGAAUGCCUAUCCUUCUACUACCUGCAUUAGGACCAAAUCUAAGAGAAAAUGGCCAAAACAACUUAUUGUGGGAUGCACAAACCAGGAACAGUGGGAUUUAUGUUUGUUAUAUCAGUGGGAAGAGUGAUAUAGUGGUUGGCGAUCAACUCUAAGCUCCACUUACAAGGCAUUCAAAACAGAUGCAACUAGAUUGGCUAAUCUGCUGGAAGAUUUACAACCAGAAGAGUAGGAAUGGAUGAUUGAGUACUUUGGCACUGAUUCAAAAUUUCAGGUUGUCUCUAAGAUCACUCUUUGUCUACUAUGUGUUAAGAUGAAAUUGCUUUUCUGUCUGGUUAUAUUUGGUUUCAAUGAAUUGAAAGGUACGCAGCCAAAAGAACACCGAUAGUCGUAAGAAACAGAAGACAAAACAUAGAAUUAGAUCAAAAUCUUACUCGCAACUAAGUUUUGAGAAGGUAUGAGUGUAACUAAAUAUGUCCUAACUAUGGUAUCAUGUUUCAAGCAUCUCAUUGCUAUAUUACUUGCAGAGAAACUUGGAAACUAGAGAAGAGCCAGAUUGUAUUGCUCUGUGGGAACUCACGCACGCGAAGAAUGGAGCAUGGUCUAACACAGAGUCCCAGGAUGUUUACGAUCCAAAGAACUAGCUCGACUGGACUCUAGAUCAUGGACAAUUUAGUCUUGACACUUAAUUAGGAUAGAUAAAUUACAUCUGAGUUUCGUUUGAUGGAUAUUUGCUAUAAGAA